GCAAAUCAUGGGAGUCUAUGGUGGUAAAUUCAGGGAUGUCCUCACCACCAAAUACACAUGAUCAGUAUACUCUCCUCAGUGACUGAGCACACAGGUCCUCACCAUGGGCUGGAACUCUAUCAUCGUCUUCCUGGUGACAGCCGCUACAGGUGUCCACUCCCAGGUCCAGCUGAAGCAGUCUGGGGCUGAGCUGGUGAGGCCUGGGUCCUCAAUAAAGCUGUCCUGCAAGACUUCAAGCUACAACUUCACUGAUUACUAUAUGAACUGGGAGAAGCAGAGGCCUGGAUGGGGCCUGGAGUGGACUGAAGCUAAUGAUCCAGAAGACAGUGAAACUAAAUAUACUCAAAAGAUUCAGGGCAAGGCCACACUGACUACAGACAAAUCCUCCAGCACAGCCUCCAUGGAGCUCAAGAGCCUGACAUCCGAGGACUCUGCUGUCUAUUACUAUACAAGAAACACAGUGUUGUAAACACAUCCUGAGUGUGUCAGUAACCCUGGAGGAGCAGGAACAUGUCCUGGGACUGAGACGACAGAGAAGAUCAGCGUGGAGACUUGCUCUAGAAUAAU